rnacentral:rRNA from 1 species
GACGAACGCUGGCGGCGUGCUUAACACAUGCAAGUCGAACGGAAAGGCCCCUUUGGGGGUACUCGAGUGGCGAACGGGUGAGUAACACGUGAGUAACCUGCCCUUGACUUCGGGAUAACUUCAGGAAACUGGGGCUAAUACCGGAUAGGAAUCCUUGCUGCAUGGUGGGGGUUGAAAAGCUUCGGCGGUUUUGGAUGGACUCGCGGCUUAUCAGCUUGUUGGUGGGGUAGUGGCUUACCAAGGCUUUGACGGGUAGCCGGCCUGAGAGGGCGACCGGCCACAUUGGGACUGAGAUACGGCCCAGACUCCUACGGGAGGCAGCGGUGGGGAAUAUUGCACAAUGGGCGGAAGCCUGAUGCAGCAACGCCGCGUGCGGGAUGACGGCCUUCGGGUUGUAAACCGCUUUCAGCAGGGGCGAAGCUUGUGGUGACGGUACCUGCAGAAGAAGCACCGGCUAACUACGUG